CUUGGCCCUCGGUCACAGUUCCAGUGCACUCACUCGUACAAUCCGUACUGCGGUCCGGUGUCAUAGACAACACCAUUGAUCUCCGUGCGAGACGCCGUUGAGAGCAGAUGGAGACACUUCAAACGGCCAUCGCUAGCUUAGAGGACAUCGGGCAGUUCAAAAAGCCUCUGGAAUACAAGAAAGAGCACUACAACAGUGACGAUCACAACGAAACAAAUUAUGUAGACCUGGGCAAUCCGGUGGACAUGAAGUCAGAUAGCACAAAGACAGUAAAAGUCACAUUCACAGGCGAAGGAAACCAACUGGCUAUCUUCAAAUGUAAAGGCGACACCCCCAUCUCCGGAAUUAAGAGUCUUGGAGAGCGAGAGGAUAACGAAGAUGUUGAUAACAGUUCAUCAAAUGACAGUUGCGCGGAUAGCAUCGGAAUUGAAAAGUGCUAUUCGGAGAGACUUUAUGGAGAGCGCGGUCACCUUAAACUAAAUGUCCCUUCGGAGGAUGACUUUACAGGUGAUGAGGACGCAGAAACGGAUGCAAAAUCCGACAAUCUAAAAUAUGAAACGGAGGAGCUACAGUACACGGACAUGUACUUGAACAGCCGCUGCGAAUCAAAAGAUGGCAAGAGCGCAGCGGACGCAGAGUCCCACUACAUAACCACGCACGAGAUUCAGCUAACGGAGCAGGAUCAUGAUGUGGACUACGAGUUUGGCCGCGGAUCCUGCUGGGAUUUCGAGGAUGAUAAUCUAGUAUAUUCGUUUGUUGACUAUGCAUCAUUUGGGAGCGACGAGACGACACCUAGAAGAAUUCAAAGCAAGUCAAAGAGCAAUAAGGUUCAGCAUACUUUACGCGCCACCGGUGCGCUGGUCAGCACUGAGAGUGAACUUUGCGAAUCCGACAAAUGUGCCAGCUCGGAUGAGGGCGCGAGUAAGAUCCAACCGGACCGCAGAAAUUCGGCGGGACAUAUUCACCUGUCAAUCAAAACAUCCUCGCGGGCUAUCAACGACCAUGCCACUGUCUUAGAAGAAAAGAAUGUCCGAUUUCACACCAAACACGCGGGCGAGCGGGGCCAUUAUUCGUUCCGAAGCUCUGACUCCAAAAGCGAGACCCUGUAUGACCGCUAUUUCAUCCCACCUCCUGGUCGCCAACACUUAGCGAGCAAACUGAGAGGAAAAGACAUUAACGAAUAUUCCAGUGGCGCGUCCAGUUCCGUUAGUGAACUGGAUGACGCUGAUAAAGAGGUGCGCAAUCUCACCGCCCGGUCCUUCCGGAGUCUGGCGUGUCCUUACUUUGAUGCAAUAAAUUUGAGCAGCUCGAGCGAGUCCUCAAUGUCAGAACAAGAACUUAGUAUUAACAAAUGGUCCGCUUUCGUCGACUUGAAUUACAGCAACUUGACGCAGGGACGCGAGCAGAACAUGCUGGCGCACAAGAACUCUACGCCUAUUUUGGAGGGGAAUAAAUGCGCCGAGUGUAAAAACGUGAUAGAUUUGGUUCCUACUAUUGAACAAAAGCCACAAACUAACAUAUUGUCUCUGAAAAAUACCUUGAACUCUCAGCAGGCGUCCUCCGGGUCGUCUAAGAAAAUAGAGACAAGCAGCAAUCCAGGUGUCAGUGAAACCAUCACACUUACUGAAACCUUAAAUUUCAGCUGCAAUGUCGGUGCAGGCAUACCUGCGCGCGAGAGACGCGCGAAACGCGCACAGAAUGCCGCAAGGUCACGUUCCACAGCUGACGUCACGGGCACCGUGCCAAGUAGGCUGGGAUGUGAAGAAGAAAUUCAGCUCCGUGAAACGGCUGAAACAUUGGAAGAUACCCACAAGAAAUCCAUCUUCGCCUCUAGUCUUUUGAAAAAUGUCAUCUCCAAGAAAAUGCAGCUUGAGCAGGAGCGUAAAAUGGAAAGAGGCGAAAUUUCCAAUACGUAUCCCACGUCACCAUUGGAUCAAUCAAAGGAUCAAGACGCCAAGAAAGAAAAAGAGAUUGUGCAAAGACAGACCCCAGAAACCUCAGAUGACCCCAGAGCUGCAACCGACAACAUAUCUCGUGUCUUAGACGACCAGCCACAAGAGAACCCGUGUUCCCUGGGUGCUGAACACACCGAGUCACGCUGUGAACCAGACGACGCCCUAAAAACUCCCCUGCCCCCCAGUGAAAAGAGUGCUUUCAAAACCUGGAAAGAUGGGGAGGAAGAAUCUAAAACUCAGGGUGAUGGCGAAUCUAAGUGCGCACAGGAGAACACCCCGCCAAACACCUCAUUUACACCCGUGAUGAAAAGCAGUGAAUGUGUUGAGGGCGAGAGUAGUAAGAUGAUUCAGAUGUCUCACUUGUAUGUCCCUAGCUCGCAGUUUAUGCCUAAGGAGAAGGAAGCGGCCGGGAUUUCAUUACAUAAUCUGAAAGCGUCUGGAGAAUUUGCGGAGUCAGAUUGGGGAGGGCGCGGACAACUGAGCUCUGGCCAGCUUCUGUGCUCUGCGGACAUCGAUAAAACCUCACGGUGUCAAAAAGCACCCGAAAUCAAAAUAUGCCUUCGAAGUGUCAGAGAAAACAAAAGCAAUCAGUUGAACAUAGCCAACCAUUUAACUCCUAUCAUACGCGUCAGUCCCAAAAAGGCGACGAACGAGUCUAAAAGCCAUUUGUUAACCGUAUCUGACAAAGUGCCGCAUUUUAUGGUUAGGGAUAUCAGAGAUAGUAAAUGUAAGUUCCAGACUCCUAUUCACCAAGUUAGAGAUGUGCGCAAAUUGGUUAAAAGCUCAUACAGGUUUGUAGCGCUAGAAAACACCUGCCCUACAUCCGGAACGGUCUCCACGACAACAGAAUUACGCGAGGAGGGCAAACCUGUACAGAGGGGGCCGUUUCCUUCACCAAUGGUGAUAAAAUGUCAGUCUGUGAAUACAAAAAGUGUCACAAAACCCCACGAGCCUGUAAACCCGAGAGAGUCGGAGAGUGUGACAUCGGAAUGUACUUUUAAAAGCGACAGAUGCAGAGUUCCGUGCGCAAAGCAGCCUUUGACUGAACAGCCAGAGUUUAGCUUAAAAAUCGAUGCCAAAACGGCAAAGCAAAAAAUGGAAAAAGGAGCAGACGCCGGCGAGAAGAAACCUGAAUCGAAGGUCUCAAACCAAAUAGCGCUUGAAAAGUUAAAGGCGGCUGUGAAAACCAUGGAACAGCUGUACGUUUUUGAUAGGAAUGAAUGGAAGCGCAAAACGCAAGCGCCGCGACCAAUAACGGACAGUCACGUCCUGUCACUAAUCACGCGAGAGGAGCAAGGAGUCACGACCAAAACGGACAUUGAUAACGAAUAUGGAAAAGCUUGCAAUGAGAAACUCACUAGCUCGGCCACAGCCUCUAAUGCUGGUGUUGUGAUAGAUGAAGGUGAACUUUGUAUGCCAGCAGGUUCUCACAGUCAGGAAGAUGCAUCUAAAUUAGUUGCCCAAAGGGCAGAUUCUUUCAAUAACAAAUGUGUGUUUAGUAUGGGCAGGUACCCCAAAGCACCCACCCAUGUAAGUACAGUGAAUGAAAGCGCUCAACAAAUGUUUUCUAGCAGCGACUAUUCUUUUAAAUCCCAUAAAGUGCCUUUGUCAUUGAAACUGUGUCCUGCUAAACUAAAGAGUGUGGAUGGAGGAAAAGGCAGGAGUACUGUUUCUGAGCACCAGCAACCUCCAUACUCAGACUCUGACAAUUACCUAACCAUCCCUGUUAAAACUCAAGCUUCUGAUUCCAAACUCGCGAUUCACCCGAAGCCUUCCCUUCAGCCUUUGCAAUGCUCACCAAUUGUCAUGGAGCCUUGGUCCACAGAGAGUAAAACGGCCACAAUAUAUCACCACGCCGUACCCCUGUCAGGUAUGCCCGCUGUACCUGCCGCCCAACCCCAGGUGCUUUGCCUCACACCCCCUGCAGAGCCUCCAGUCCCUCACAUCCAGCGGAAGCUGCUGCUGGACCCCACCACGGGCCAGUAUUACUUAGUGGACACCCAUGUGCCCAUGCAGCCAGCCGCCCAGCGGUUUUACCAUCUGGAGAGUGGUCAGUACUUGGACAUUCCUAAAUCAGUCGUCCCAGUGCCCAUGUCUGUCUCGCCGGUAACCCUCAGUCCUGCGGCAGCAUGUUCCCCCACCUACCUGGUCUAUCCCUCAACCUUGCUGCCACCCCACACACACCCAAAUCCCCAGUCUCACUCUUCCACCUGCUCAGAGGGCAAGGACACGGUUGAGACAGGCAGCUAUCUGAUGCCGCCGGGUCCGUUAGUACCCAGUAGCACUAAACCCAUUAUUAGUAUUACGUCACAGCCAGGUGCCCAUAUUGUUGCCCCUCCCUCUUUUGAUGGGACAACCAUGAGCUUUGUGGUGGAGCAUAGAUAACUAAAUGUAAGUAAUCACUGCAUUAUAUAUCCUGGUAUAAGUUGUCCCCUACUGUAGUAUUUUUAUUGUUUUGAUGUUGUAUUUCUGUUCAGACCUUCUCAUAGUACAAUUUACAUGUGUUGUCUCACAGAAUCAAACGUACUAACUGUAAAAGAGUUUGUGCACUGUGCAAGUGCGGUCUAGAGCAAUAUACGGGAAACCAGGGUUUGUUGUCACAAGGGCUAUAUCACUGCAAUCACAAGAUUUGGAGUCAAAAGUUAAAUUGUGCAAAAGUGUGUUUUAACUAACACCUUGUUGAAAACCGUUCUAUAUUAGAAAACAAUUGUGAAUUCUUCCCUCCAGAGUACAUUGUUAGUAUCAUGAUAUUUUUGUUUUAGAUCCAUGUGAACAUUAUCGUACCACACUGGCAUACAUUCAGGUCAACUAUGCUAUUAAAGACAGAUUAUCACCAAAAGGUUUUAAUGUGUUCUUAUAGGAUAAAUAUAUUUUUCAUGAAAGUCAGAUCAGAGCAUGUUGUCACAUUUUUAUCGGGGCAGUUGUGUUGUCACAGAUGUAUACAAUUUAUCAGUUACAAUAUUUGUUUGCCAAAUAUCAAAUUUAGAUAUUUUUGUAGUGGCCACCCAAUUUUGUUAUUGUAUUAAUCAUUUUGUGCCUCUUAAUUGUUUUACUUAAAGAAUCUGCUGAAAAGCCUAUUAUAGGCCAUUUAAUGCAGGUGUAGAUUUAAAAGCAGUCGGAGAUUUUGUUUUGAUGAUUUUGAUAUCAUGAAACAUGCGGCACUGAUUUAAUGCUGGUUCCAUUGUGACAACUUACCUCGUGUGACAGGUAAGCUGCUAUUGGGGCAUGUUGUCACAAAAGGCCAAUAAGUGUUGAAUGAACUGUAUCUUUUUUUCUUGGCAGUAUCAGUAAAAAGGCUUUAUGGCUUUUUUGUAGCCUUCAAGGUAUGCGGUUAUCCUGACACUGACUUUCAAAAAUAACCUACCCUGAAAAAUAUUCUCAGUCUCCCAUACAUAUCUGUACAAAGUAAGAAAAGCAAAUUCAUAUUACAAUGUGGUGACUCAGAAUACCUAUAUAUAUAUAGUAAAAUUGAAUGCCAUUCAAUUUAGCCAUUAUUAAUAGAAUAGCAGUAAUAAGGAAAAGGGAAUGUAAGUAUUAUUAUUUUGUGUGGACUGAAAAAAAAAGACUUGACUAAGAGAAAUGUGUGUUGUCUAUCAAUUUAUACUUUUGUGUUUGUGUUUAUCUAUGGGGGUUUUGAGAGAAAGGGUGUGCUCUGUUGUACUCUUUACAUUAGAGAAAAUGUACUAUAGUAGGUCACCUGGUUAUUCCAUGCAUACUGAAUAUUUGCAUACUGUGCACAUUAUGCAUACUAUAUACCCCAACAAUAUAGAGUAGUAUAGUAUAAUUCUAAAUGGCUCAACAGUGUGAAAUGUUUUUUUUUUUUACUGUCUUUGAUAUGCAUGUGUGUGCUUGUUUAUGAGCUUAUCAAUGUGAACAUUUAUGGCCAUUUGAGAUUAGUUAGUAUUUAGGAUUUUGUGUAGUUGUUUGUAGCAUGUGUGUGUGUUUAUGACAUUUAUUCACAUUUGCAUUUUUAACAGGAACACAUUGGAUGAGGCAGAAUGCAGGAGGAAUACCAUCCUUUUAAUGCCAUGAUGGUCUGUGUGUUUUUAGGGCUGUGUCCUUUUCCCUUCCACAUCAUCAAACAUUUCCCACACGUUUCGCACUUUCCCACACUUAUCUUCGUCAAUUCCUACCUGCUGUUGCCCCCAGAUCUGUGACUUUUGGAACGUUUCCACUAAAGACGAACAACUGUAAUAUACUGAAGCAGUUUUACAAACCUUUUUAAAAAACUUUUUCUUUUCUUAUGAGACAUUAUGAGAACCAUUUUUGUUGCCUAUUUAGACUUCUUUAAGCACUACAUACUUAAAGGAAAUUAUGUUCAUUACAUUUUCAUCUUGUAUAUAGUGUUUUCAUUCUCAAGGUACUGUUUUAAUUUACCAUGUACGUUUUGAUUGUGUAAAGCAUGGUGUGUGUGUGUGUGUGUGAGAGAGAGAGAGAGGAGAAGGGGAAUAAGAGAGUGACAGUGUUUUGUGUAUGAUUGUGAGAUAAAGUGACAGAACUAGGGGAGUGUCUGUUUUCUCUAUCUGUGAUUUGUGAGAGCAGUUUCAUAAGAUUAUAAAUUUAUAGGGCAAUGAGCAAUUAUGUACAGUGUCAAUGAAUAAUGACUCAUAUUCAUAUUGUUAUAAUGGAGUUGAAAACACUUCAACACAUUUAGUAAGUAAUUCAGAAUCGUAGCCAAAUCUUCAUGCUCUAGGUUACCUCUGUUUGUAGUGCAGGCAUGUUGCAGUCUCAUGGUAUUUUGCCUCCACAUUUCUCAUUCUCUUCUUUUGGUUUUCUUUCUUUUUACCCUUCCUUUCCAUCAUCUGUCCUCCUGUUUCAUUUUCUUCUAUUUUUUAUUUUGUUACAUUGAUCAUACAUUAAAGAUAUAUGGAUCUGCAGGCCAGUCUAUAUACCACUUAUAAGGAAUGCAUUGUUGUUAUUGUCAGUGCUGGCAAAUAUGUUUAUUAUAAAUGUGCUAUUCAAAUUAAGUCUGUAUAGUUGGAAAGUCCAUAAAGAAGACAC